AUCCUACGGGAGGCUGCAGUGGGGAAUAUUGGACAAUGGGCGAAAGCCUGAUCCAGCCAUGCCGCGUGUGUGAAGAAGGUCUUCGGAUUGUAAAGCACUUUAAGUUGGGAGGAAGGGCUGCUGGUUAAUACCCUGCAGUUUUGACGUUACCAACAGAAUAAGCACCGGCUAACUUCGUGCCAGCAGCCGCGGUAAUACGAAGGGUGCAAGCGUUAAUCGGAAUUACUGGGCGUAAAGCGCGCGUAGGUGGUUGGGUAAGUUGAAUGUGAAAGCCCCGGGCUCAACCUGGGAACUGCAUCCAAAACUGCCCGACUAGAGUACGGUAGAGGGUGGUGGAAUUUCCUGUGUAGCGGUGAAAUGCGUAGAUAUAGGAAGGAACACCAGUGGCGAAGGCGACCACCUGGACUGAUACUGACACUGAGGUGCGAAAGCGUGGGGAGCAAACAGGAUUAGAUACCCGUGUAGUCCG
rnacentral:rRNA from 1 species